AUAUGAGAUUUUGUAGUCAAUUGAUUGCUUCCCUAUUGGUUUGAUAGUCGAAAUGAUGGCAUCAUACUUGUAUUAGCUCUAUCUGAUCAUUC